rnacentral:rRNA from 1 species
GUAGUCUCGCACAGAUGCAUAUCAAUAAGCGGAGGAAAAGAAACUAACAAGGAUUCCCCUAGUAACGGCGAGUGAAGCGGGAAGAGCUCAAAUUUGAAAUCUUGAAAGGGUUUCCCUUUACGAAUUGUAGUUUAAAGAAGUGUUUUCUGUUGAGGUUUUGGUAAAAGUUCUUUGGAAUAGGACAUCAUAGAGGGUGAGAAUCCCGUAUUUGACCUUUACUUUCAACUUUGUGAUACACUUUCAAAGAGUCGGAUUGUUUGGGAAUGCAGUCCAAAAUGGGUAGUAAAUUUCAUCUAAAGCUAAAUAUUGGCGAGAGACCGAUAGCGAACAAGUACCGUGAGGGAAAGAUGAAAAGAACUUUGAAAAGAGAGUUAAACAGUACGUGAAAUUGUCAAAAGGGAAGCGUUUGACACCAGUGUUGUUUUUCUGAAAAUCAAUUAAAGAACUGUUUAUGCUAAGCUGUUUAGACUUUAUCAGCUAACUGUUUAGUUUUGAGCUUUUCUUUAAUGCACUUUUCAGUUAACAAGUCAACAUCAAUUUCUUUUGCUGUAAAAAAGCUUGAGGAAGGUGGCUUGAGAUUCGUCUUAAGUGUUUAUAGCCUCUUGCCUAUGCAGUCGGAGAGAUUGAGGUCUGCAGCGUAGAUCCUUCGGGGCUAAAUGCAUUUGUGCUAAGUUAUAGCAUUUCAUAGACAACUUGUUGACUAUGAUUUGUCUUGUAGCUUACUCGCUUAUGUUAUUUUACCUACGCUUAGGAUGUUGAUCUGUAGUGCGUGCGC